AUUGAACGCUGGCGGCAGGCCUAACACAUGCAAGUCGAACGGUAACAGGAAGCAGCUUGCUGCUUCGCUGACGAGUGGCGGACGGGUGAGUAAUGUCUGGGAAGCUGCCUGAUGGAGGGGGAUAACUACUGGAAACGGUAGCUAAUACCGCAUAAUGUCGCAAGACCAAAGAGGGGGACCUUCGGGCCUCUUGCCAUCGGAUGUGCCCAGAUGGGAUUAGCUUGUUGGUGGGGUAACGGCUCACCAAGGCGACGAGCCCUAGCUGGUCUGAGAGGAUGACCAGCCACACUGGGACUGAGACACGGUCCAGACUCCUACGGGAGGCAGCAGUGGGGAAUAUUGCACAAUGGGCGCAAGCCUGAUGCAGCCAUGCCGCGUGUAUGAAGAAGGCCUUCGGGUUGUAAAGUACUUUCAGCGGGGAGGAGGGGAGUAAAGUUAAUACCUUUGCUCAUUGACGUUACCCGCAGAAGAAGCACCGGCUAACUCCGUG
rnacentral:rRNA from 1 species